CGCUUGCUCGGUGCUGCCGGGGCUCGCUGAGGCCUGUCCUAUCCAGGAGCUGGCGUAAAGUUCCUGCAAGUCGAGGUUUUAAAUGAUACACAGAAUUUAAAAGCAGUGCAGAUGAUUUGAUGUUUGGCAGAAACUGUUUGAGACAAAGGCUGAAAGAAGCGAAGAGGAAGGAUGAGUCUGCUAAAACCUAGUGGGCUGAAGGCUCCUAGCAAGAUUGCCAAACCAGGGAGUACUGCAGUGAAGCAAGCUGCUUCUGCACAACCAUCAA